CUCCUAGUACGAGAGGACCGGAGUGGACGCAUCACUGGUGUUCGGGUUGUCAUGCCAAUGGCACUGCCCGGUAGCUAAAUGCGGAAGAGAUAAGUGCUGAAAGCAUCUAAGCACGAAACUUGCCCCGAGAUGAGUUCUCCCUGAGACUUAGAGUCUCCUGAAGGAACGUUGAAGACGACGACGUUGAUAGGCCGGGUGUGUAAGCGCAGCGAUGCGUUGAGCUAACCGGUACUAAUGAACCGUGAGGCUUAACCUU
rnacentral:rRNA from 2 species